rnacentral:rRNA from 1 species
UACGGAGGGUGCAAGCGUUAAUCGGAAUUACUGGGCGUAAAGCGCACGCAGGUGGCUGAGUCAGUCGAUUGUGAAAGCCCUGGGCUUAACCUGGGAAUUGCAGUCGAUACUACUCAGCUAGAGUAUGGGAGAGGGUAGUGGAAUUCCCGGUGUAGCGGUGAAAUGCGUAGAUAUCGGGAGGAACAUCAGUGGCGAAGGCGGCUACCUGGCCCAAUACCGACACUCAGGUGCGACAGCGUGGGGAGCAAACAGG